rnacentral:snRNA from 1 species
GUUUGCCUCGGCAGCACAUAUACUAAAAUUGGAACGAUACAGAGAAGAUUAGCAUUGCCCCUGUGCAAGGAUGUCAGCUGAUGUUGAGAGACUGAGGGAACUUUU